UACGGAGGGUGCAAGCGUUAUCCGGAUUCACUGGGUUUAAAGGGUGCGUAGGAGGACUGGUAAGUCAGUGGUGAAAUCCCCGAGCUUAACUUGGGAACUGCCGUUGAUACUAUCAGUCUUGAAUACCGUGGAGGUGAGCGGAAUAUGUCAUGUAGCGGUGAAAUGCUUAGAUAUGACAUAGAACACCAAUUGCGAAGGCAGCUCGCUACACGAAUAUUGACUCUGAAGGCACGAAAGCGUGGGGAUCAAACAGG
rnacentral:rRNA from 1 species